CUCUCUUAUGUAGACUUAUCUUCCUUACAGAACUGUUCCACUUAAAACUGGUCCAACACUUCCCCACUAGCCCCUGUUGUCUUCCUGUGGCUUUGAUAAUAUUUGGGAGAUUCUGUUGUGUAUACCUCAUUGAGUAUCCAUUUUUGCUACAAAAUUUAGUGCCAUCUCUUGAGUGGGUGUCGAGCCCACUGGCUGAGUUGCACAGUAGAGCACUAAAUAUUUAAGCUGAACUUGCUGUAGUCCCCUUUCCAGUCCAGUGCCUUUCUAUCUUUACUGAGCUGCUUCUGUCCCCAGUCCUUGUUGGGAAGAUUUUGUUUUACCUUUCUGGGACUGUCACCAUCUCCCAUACAGUUUGGAGUUUCUUUUUCUAUUAUUCAGCAAUCUGUUUUAGAAGGGGUGAAAGGGUUGGAAAGGGUAAAGACCUAAUUCUCAGUCUACUCUUGUAGGAACUGCUCAGGAACUGAGACUGGAUUCUGUCCAGAACAGCUUACUAGAAGUACCAGAGCCUCACUGUCAGUGAUAUCCUCUGGCACUUGAAGUUUCAAAAUACAACAGAAGUACUCUAACUUCACAGAGCAUCUGAAUGCAACUUUGACCUCAGCAUACACACACUUUUAUAUGUGACAAAAAAAGUUCCCUAGUCCUUGAGUUCAUGUGAUCUUAUGAUGAAUGCAGUUCUUUAGAAAAGCUCGAGAAUUUCUAGAAAGACGAGGAGAAAAGUUAACCCUGUUUAUUAAUUCCAUGGGCCAGACUGGACAUCAUGAGGGAGAUGGUCUUGACCUGUAUCCCCUGAGGCUAUCUGCACACCAACCUGGAAAUCAUGAAACGAGCCUGUCUUAUCAGCUCUUGGGAAGUAGAAGUAAGAGGAUUAUGAAUUUUAGGCCAGCCUUGGAUCCGUUACAAGCUGAAGACCAGACUGGAUUCUGUGAGUGUCUUGCCUGUCCCUGGAGAAUGUUUUCUCUUUUUGUUUCCAGCAGCAGGGGAAGCCACAGCACCAUCUGGCACGUGAGUGGAGGUGAUCUCGUCACGUGCAGAUCACUGAUGGAGUGGUUUCACUGCCAGUGGGACUCUUGGCUCUUCCACUGUAGUUUUCUUUAAGUCUGAUAGUUUGAAGGUGCAGUCUUUCAUGGUGGAGCAAUCUCAAGGCAGGAGCAUGAGGUAACUACUGGUCACAUUGCACCUGCAGUCAAGGGACAGAAGACAGUAAUGCACUCCACAAGAAUAGUGAUUUGAGGGCCAUUCCCCACUGAACCUUAUAGGAAGAACAGAGAAAUUAUGCUGAACUGGGAACUUAGAAGAGAUAUGCAAAAGAACUUCCACAAUAGAAAUACAGUUGCUGUUCUAGUCAUCCCUAUUUUUAAGUUAGAGUCACUAUCACCUUUGCUGCUGCUUUCCUUCUUAGGAGCCUUGGCACCCAAGGCCACUCUUCCUUGGGUGGCAUUUCUUGUCUCCAUUCAACCUUUUUGAUGUUACUUAGAGUGCAGAUCAUGGCUUCCACUGUAACUCCUUUUAGACUUGGCUGUCUUCUGGUUUUAGUGCUGAAUACAGGUUCAUUCUGUGGGCUCUUGAACUGUCUCCUGCAUCCCUAUCCUCUUUGUCUUCCUGUAGGAGAGCCUACAGUGAUGUUAGCUUUACUUUCCUAGGUGCCACUGGGACCUUUGCUAGAAUAGGGAUAUUUUCAGUGUCAAAUAGAGCUUGUUCUGUGUGCUUCUUAAAUAGGCAAGCUACCUGUAUCUUCCCUGUCUGGUUGCUUUUUCUCUAGUCCUGUAACAAGUAUGGUGGUUUUGGAAGCUUUUGUUUGUUUUGUUUUAAGUUGGGGAAGUAAAGCUAUGCUUCUGCUUGUCUGAAUCAUUGGAAUCCCAACUUAGAGCCUGUCCUGAGUUUUAAGGCAUAUCAAACAUACUACCCUGCUUUUAACUUCUAAAUAUUCAAGUCAUUUGGUAUACACAGAAGUAACCUACUAAUCCAAAGAUACACAUUGAGGCACAUAGGAAGGGCAAGAGCAGGUCAUCAGAUUCUGCAUUUGAUGUCUAGUUCAAACUCCUGAAUGAAGAAGCAGAGGGAUAGUAGUGCCAUGUGCCUUCGUAGUGUCCAGGAAAUCUGGGUUGGUUACAGGAGAAAGUACCAGUAUUUCUUGGUUCCAGUAAGUAGCACAAGAGUUGAGAUGGAGAACUAGGGACAGGGAGAGGCCUGCACAUUGUUUUGUGCCUGAUGAAGAGCACCAUGGGGAGGGCCAGCUGCUGACCAACAGCUGCUUGCAGAUCUUGCAGCCUCUUCCCUGUUUUAGUUCUUGAGAAAAAUGUGGCUGACCGACCACUCCUUGUGAUGUACAGAGCCCCGGCUAAGUGCCAGCCUCAGAUCUCCUACCGAUCUGGCAGCUGGACAAGUCAGCCAGAGUUCUGAUCACCUGGCCCUGCAUUCCUGUUUCAGUGCUACAACAGAAUGUGAGAGGCAAAUCUCCACAUUGCCUUGAUUUUCCUUUCCUCUAACCCAGAACAGAGGCCAGUGGAGAGGAUUGCCCAAUGCAUGCUGUGCACAACUCAUCAGACUCACACUGCCUCACCACAUACGCCCUGAAGUGGGGUGUGUGGACUGUGUUACUCCUCCCCACUACCUCUUACCCAGUAGUGGAGAGGGUGGCCUUGUUUUGGCUGUAUUUAAGUGGCAAGUGAAUCCGGGGCCCUGCACUCUCUCCCCUGCUUUCUGGGCUCAUGAGCCUGCCUUGCAGUGCAUGAGAGGAGCCACCUCCUGACCUCCUUAGUACCCUUCAGUGGGAAGUCUGACCUCUGCUGAAACAUGCUGAGCAUGGCAGCUGUGAGGAACCUCCUACAUCUGCUUUCUGGCUGUGCUGACUUGGGAUUUUUAACCUUAUAUAUCUUUUUCCUUUAUUCAAAACAAAACAAUUUUUAGCACACUGAAAAAAAAAAAAGCCAAAUGUUUUGUGCCUUUCUAAGGCAGCGCUGUACCCCAGGCUGCAUCUUAGGACUUAAUAUGGAAAUACCAGAGUCUGAGCUCCUCUGCCUUGAAUAUCUUUAGCCCUGGAGUUUUGGGGACAAGGAUGAUUGGCUGGAAAGGUGGCACACUAGGUGCCUAGAGUCUCCUUUCUCUGCCACGAGGCUUCACUGCAAGAGAGCAGCAUUUCAUUCCGGCCUCCCGUGGUUGGUUCCAGGCAGCAGUUAGUGCUCAGGUGACUGCCCUGGGUGCCACACUCACCCACCUCCGAGAGCAGUGCCCUGCAGAGCAGAGCUGUAGGGUGGGCUCUUCUGGGAAGAGGAGAUGGUUCAUUUGUUGUCUUUUUGUUUUGCUGGAUCUUGAGCCAGCUUCAACCUCCUGCCUCUCCUUAGACUUGGCUGUCCUUUCAGUUGAAGGCUUCAACCAUAAAGCAUUAAGUGGCUGGUGCCCAUCACAGGGUCAGCUUGCACCCAGGGAGGGGCCACGGCACCCUGAGGCCUGUCAGUCAUACUGUCGUAGGUUUCAACCACAAGUUUUUACCCUCCCUUCUCCCUGGUUCUCCCCUGCCUGUGGCUAACAAAGAGUGGGGGUGGAAACAGUUCUUUUUAAGAUCUGCCUCAUUCGAGAUUUUUAAAUUCUUGAUUUGGGUGGGACAAGAGAGAACUUGAUAUUUUCCCCAGAAUAGAGUCCCAAUUUGUAUAUCAGUGUUAAGAAAACAAAACACACACUUAGGUGAGAUUCUCAUGGACUAUUUUUAAAUGUCAUUAAUAUAAGAAAAUUUCUAUUAGCAGUAUUUACACUCUCCUGUAGAAAGCAGGCAGAGGUAAAUGCUCCUGCAGAGUAGUGGAGCUUUAAGACUCGUUCUCUUCAGUCCAUGUUGUUUUGCCAGUGUACUGAUGUGUAGAGGUCUGUUAGACUAAUUAGAGGUCUGUUAUACUAAUGUUAUUUAUUAAUUUUUUUCAUUUCCAUACAGUUAACUAAAGAGCUUUUUCAAGCACCCAUGUCUGUAAAAAAAUAUUUUUAAAUAAAAUUUCUUUUGUUGUAGCACA
rnacentral:lncRNA from 1 species